GCAGAGGAGUUCGAAAGGUUGCUUCCGUAGCUGGGAACGGGGAGAUUAGGACUGUUCUUAAUAACCGACCAGUGACUAUAUUUGGCAAUAUUCUGAAUCGUAAAAUACCUUGGCCUCAAGUACCUGAAGAGAUGAGCUAUGAAGCGUACGAUCUUAUAGAAAAACACAUUUAAGGGCCUG